rnacentral:rRNA from 1 species
CGAAGGUGGCAAGCGUUACUCGGAAUUACUAGGCGUAAAGGGCAGGUAGGUGGCUCGAUAAGUCUGUUGUGAAAGCUCCUGGCUUAACUGGGAGAGGUCAACAGAUACUGUUGAGCUUGAGUAUGGGAGAGGGUACUGGAAUUCCCGGUGUAGCGGUGAAAUGCGCAGAGAUCGGGAGGAACACCAAUGGCGAAAGCAGGUGCCUGGACCAUUACUGACACUCAGCUGCGAAAGCUAGGGGAGCAAACAGGAUUAGAUACCCUGGUAGUCCUAGCCGUAAACGAUGCACAUUAGGCGUGGGGGGUAUCGACCCCCUCUGUGCCGACGCAAACGCAUUAAAUGUGCCGCCUGGGGAGUACGGCCGCAAGGUUG